AUUGAACGCUGGCGGCAUGCUUUACACAUGCAAGUCGAACGGCAGCACGGGUGCUUGCACCUGGUGGCGAGUGGCGAACGGGUGAGUAAUGCAUCGGAACGUGCCCAUGAGUGGGGGAUAGCCCGGCGAAAGCCGGAUUAAUACCGCAUACGCCCUUAGGGGGAAAGCGGGGGAUCUUCGGACCUCGCGCUAUUGGAGCGGCCGAUGUCGGAUUAGCUAGUAGGUGAGGUAAAGGCUCACCUAGGCGACGAUCCGUAGCUGGUCUGAGAGGAUGAUCAGCCACACUGGGACUGAGACACGGCCCAGACUCCUACGGGAGGCAGCAGUGGGGAAUAUUGGACAAUGGGCGAAAGCCUGAUCCAGCAAUGCCGCGUGUGUGAAGAAGGCCUGAGGGUUGUAAAGCACUUUCAAUCGUGAAGAAAAGUACACAGGCUAAUACCCUGUGACCUUGACGUUAACGAUACAAGAAGCACCGGCUAACUCCG
rnacentral:rRNA from 1 species